UGGGGAAUAUUGCACAAUGGGGGAAACCCUGAUGCAGCGACGCCGCGUGAACGAAGAAGGUAUUCGUAUCGUAAAGUUCUGUCCUAUGGGAAGAUAAUGACAGUACCAUAGAAGAAAGCUCCGGCUAAAUACGUGCCAGCAGCCGCGGUAAUACGUAUGGAGCGAGCGUUGUCCGGAAUUAUUGGGCGUAAAGGGUACGCAGGCGGUUUAAUAAGUCGAAUGUUAAAGAUCGGGGCUCAACCCCGCAAAGCAUUGGAAACUGAUAAACUUGAGUAGUGGAGAGGAAAGUGGAAUUCCUAGUGUAGUGGUGAAAUACGUAGAUAUUAGGAGGAAUACCAGUAGCGAAGGCGACUUUCUGGACACAUACUGACGCUGAGGUACGAAAGCGUGGGGAGCAAACAGG
rnacentral:rRNA from 1 species